rnacentral:tRNA from 1 species
GAGAUGAUGGCUCAGUGGUUAAGAGCACUGACUGUUUCCUUCCAGAGGUCCUGAGUUCAAUUCCCAGCAACCGCA